AGAUUGAACGCUGGCGGCAGGCCUAACACAUGCAAGUCGAGCGGUAGAGAGGUGCUUGCAUCUCUUGAGAGCGGCGGACGGGUGAGUAAUGCCUAGGAAUCUGGCCUAGUGGGUGGGGGAUAACGUUCGGAAACGGACGCUAAUACCGCAUACGUCCUACGGGAGAAAGCGGGGGACCUUCGGGACCUCGCGCCAUUAGAUGAGCCUAGGUCGGAUUAGCUAGUUGGUGAGGUAAUGGCUCACCAAGGCGACGAUCCGUAACUGGUCUGAGAGGAUGAU
rnacentral:rRNA from 1 species